rnacentral:rRNA from 1 species
AUUGAACGCUGGCGGCAGGCUUAACACAUGCAAGUCGAGCGGUAGCACAGGGGAGCUUGCUCCCUGGGUGACGAGCGGCGGACGGGUGAGUAAUGUCUGGGAAACUGCCUGAUGGAGGGGGAUAACUACUGGAAACGGUAGCUAAUACCGCAUAACGUCGCAAGACCAAAGAGGGGGACCUUCGGGCCUCUUGCCAUCAGAUGUGCCCAGAUGGGAUUAGCUGGUAGGUGGGGUAAUGGCUCACCUAGGCGACGAUCCCUAGCUGGUCUGAGAGGAUGACCGCCCACACGGGACCUGAGACACGGUCCAGACUCCAACGGGAGGCAGCGGUGGGGAAUAUUGCACAAUGGGCGCAAGCCUGAGGCAGCCAUGCCGCGGGUGUGAAGAAGGCCUACGGGUUGUAAAGCACUUUCAGCGAGGAGGAAGGUGGUGAACUUAAUACGGCCAUCAAUGGACGUUACUCGCAGAAGAAGCACGGGCUAAUUCCGU